ACGGGCCGUCAUAGAGGGUGAGAUCCCGUCUGGGAGGGGUGUCCACGCCCGUGUGAAGCUCCUUCGACGAGUCGAGUUGUUUGGGAAUGCAGCUCUAAAUGGGUGGUAAAUUUCAUCUAAAGCUAAAUACUGGCCGGAGACCGAUAGCGCACAAGUAGAGUGAUCGAAAGAUGAAAAGCACUUUGAAAAGAGAGUUAAACAGCACGUGAAAUUGUUGAAAGGGAAGCGCUGCGACCAGACUCGCCCACGGGGUUCAGCCGGCAUUCGUGCCGGUGUACUUCCCCGCGGGCGGGCCAGCGUCGGUUUGGGCGGCCGGUCAAAGGCCCUCGGAAUGUAACGCCCCCCGGGGC
rnacentral:rRNA from 1 species